UUUUUUGUAUGAUAACUUUCCACGUUGGUGGCCCAUUUGCUUGUAAAUGGCCAUAUUAUUCAUUCCAUUCAAAAAAAAAUAAAAAAUAAAAAUAACAAUUAUGUUCUUCUUCUUUUGGUUAUAGUAGCAGCUCAACAUUGUUACGUUUCUUUUAGCAAAUCCUAUUCAUUCAAUCGCUUUCUAUUAAACCCUAGCCGUCUCACUUACAAUCAAAACGCUGAAAUCUUACAUCUCAAAUUCUCUAGUAAUCCUCUCAAUAUCCUUUGCAAAUUUCGCUUUAAAUUGAGACCCGUCUUGUUCCCGUGAUAGUAGACUCACGCCUCUACGAUUCUCAUGUUCGUUUUCGCCAAACGACCCGUCGACUGCUCGUGCUUCGGAGUCUAUGCAGGGUUAGCUGUUUGCCAAGAUUCACGUGGAUAAGCAAGCAGUGAGUUUGUAGUGCUAUUUACCGCUUUAUUAAGUACCGCAUCAUAUUUUAAUAUUAUAAAUGUUUGUGAACUGUUUUUACGGAUUAUGGAUCUGGAUUGAAACGAGCUACUCGAUAGGCUUGUAUCGAGACUGUGUGCACCGGUAAGUACUCUGGGAAACGGCAGACUAAAGUCUUGCUUACGCUGGUAUAUUUAUAUGACGAGGAUUUGUUCCCGUCCACUCUGGGUUUAUCGGUAUGCUAUGUCAUACUUACGCUGGGAUCAUUUCAAUACUGUUUUCCAUAAUCAUAUUAUAUUAGUAUAAAAAUGUUUUGAUUUAAGGGUUUUAAACUUAAUAAAUGUAAAUAAUAUUGCGAACUCAUCUCAGUAUAUCUGACCCCGUUGUUUUCCCAAAUUUUCCAGGUUUAUGAUUUGAAAGCUGGUCCACUCCGAUUCUUUUGAUUCCUCGGAGGUUUUAUUGUUAUUAAACUAGUUUCUGUUUUCAAACUCUUAGACCGCAGUAGAACUAGUUUAUAUAUUACAUUUGUUAUUACAUUAGGAUUGUCAAUUAGACUGAUUAUUUAUUAUUAGCAUGUUUACACUGGAAUAUUUUAUUAUUAUAUUUAAGGCAUGCUGUGGAAUAUUUCAGAUACUUAAAUUAUUUAUAUUAGAACUGUAAUAUAAAUUGCUAUGCUUUGGUUGGAGUCUCGGUUGCCUCCGAGCAGUUUUCUGCAGGUUUAAAUAUUUAAUUGUUUUCCGCAAGGCUUGCUACGGGUUUUGGUACAACCAUACCCAUACCCUAGCGCCGGUCACGAUUCAUGAAAUUGGGUCG